rnacentral:misc_RNA from 1 species
AGAAGUAAAAGUCGUAACAAGGUUUCCGUAGGUGAACCUGCGGGAGGAUCAUUACUGAAGUGGGUCUUCAAUCAUUGAAGCUUCUUCCCAUUGUGCUGGCUUUGACCGUAUGUAAUGUUGGGGAUUAAACAUGGUUGAGAGAAAUCUUGGCCGUCCCCAACAAAUUAUCUUAUCCUUUAUUAAAUUGAACUGAACUCAUUUUGAGACUACAUAAAAAAAAAUAAUCUUUUAAUACAACUUUCAACAACGGAUCUCUUGGUUCUC